UAUACUUAACAAAGCUACGUGUACCCCAGCUUUGAGGAGAUAGAAGGUGGAAGAUCAGAAGUUCAAGGCCAGCCUGAGCUUUGAGAGACUGCAUAUCAAACAAAACAAACAAACAAACAAACAAACAAAAAACCAUCUUCAGACAGGUGUGGAUUCUUGCUUCUAAUUCCAGCACUCAGGGCAAAGGUAGGCAGAUCUGUGUGAGAAAGAGGCCAUUGUGUCCACAUAGUGAGUUCCAGGCUAUCAGGGUGACACAAUGAGACUUUGUCUCAAAAAAACCAACCAAACAAACAAAAAAAUGGGGGCUAGAGAAAUGGCUCAAUGGUUAAGAGAACUGAAUUUUAUGACAAAACUUCCUGGGGAGUUCGAACACUUGAUAGAGAAUCUACAACAGACCAAAGUGUUGAUACCACCAAAGUCCAAUUUGGUGAGCCAAUGAGUUUUAUUGGGGUGAUUUACAGGAAUAUGGAUGAGGGGUUACUUACAAGAGCAGAAAUGACUCAAAGACAGCUGCAUCACCAAAACCCACCCCAGCAGGGGCAAUGGCUCACAAAGUUGGGAACCUGGAGCAUACUACAUGACCUAUAGUCAGCUCAAUGGUUAGAGGGUGUCCUUUCCAGGUACCUCAACUCAUCCAAACCUUUUCCAGGCAGGGGGCCUGGUCUGAGAGUUUUAUUUGUAGCUCUGGUAAGAAGGGUCCUAGUGAAUCUGGUCAGCUUUAGGGAUUUCCUGAAUCUAUUUUGAUUUGUUUACCUUCCUUAAGAAGCUUUGUUGCAAGGUGGAAUGUUUCAAUAUAGAGGAAACUGUUACUUAACAACUGGCUGGUCUUGAAGAGGACCUGGGUUCGACCACAUCAAACAACCCCAUGUUCUUCUUUUGUUUUUUUAAGACAAGGUCUCAUUUCCUGUCCUGGACCUCCAUGUAGACCAGACUGGCCUUGAACUCACAGCGGUCCAACCAUCUCUGCCUCCCAAGUGCUUGCAUUAAAGGUGCAUACUGCCCAGCCUCCUUGUUUGUUCUUAAUAGUAUCUAAAAUUUUUAGUUAACUCACAUUACUGGGAAUGGCAGGAUUUUGCUCAUGCCCC
rnacentral:lncRNA from 1 species